ensembl:snRNA U6 U6 spliceosomal RNA
GUGCUUGCUUUGGCAGCACAUAUACUAAAAUUGGAACCAUACAGAAAUUAGCAUGACGCAUGCGCAAAGUUGACAUGCAAAUUCAUAAAGUGUUCCAUAUUUUU